rnacentral:rRNA from 1 species
GACGAACGCUGGCGGCGUGCUUAACACAUGCAAGUCGAACGGAAAGGCCCUGCUUUUGUGGGGUGCUCGAGUGGCUAACGGGUGAGUAACACGUGAGUAACCUGCCCUUUACUUUGGGAUAACUUCAGGAAACUGGGGCUAAUACCGGAUAGGAGCUCCUGCUGCAUGGUGGGGGUUGGAAAGUUUCGGCGGUUGGGGAUGGACUCGCGGCUUAUCAGCUUGUUGGUGGGGUAGUGGCUUACCAAGGCUUUGACGGGUAGCCGGCCUGAGAGGGUGACCGGCCACAUUGGGACUGAGAUACGGCCCAGACUCCUACGGGAGGCAGCAGUGGGGAAUAUUGCACAAUGGGCGGAAGCCUGAUGCAGCAACGCCGCGUGCGGGAUGAAGGCCUUCGGGGUGUAAACCGCUUUCGCCUGUGACGAAGCGUGAGUGACGGUAAUGGGUAAAGAAGCACCGGCUAACUACGUG